AACGUAGGACGCAAGCGUUAUCCGGAGUUACUGGGCGUAAAGCGCGCGCAGGCGGUUCUGCCAGUCUGAUGUGAAAUCUCCCCGCUCAACGGGGAGCAGCCAUUGGAAACUACAGAACUGGAGUCUGACAGAGGUAGGCGGAAUUCCGGGUGGAGUGGUGAAAUGCGUAGAGAUCCGGAGGAACACCAGAGGCGAAGGCGGCCUACUGGGUCAGUACUGACGCUGAGACGCGAAAGCCAGGGGAGCGAACGGG
rnacentral:rRNA from 1 species